rnacentral:rRNA from 1 species
GUGCACCAGGCGCGAAACCUCCUCAAUGCACUCACGUGCGAAGGGGUUACCUCGAGUGCCGCCUGAAGAAGGCGGCUUUUCCAUGGUCUAAAAGCCUAGGGAAUAAGAGGGGGCAAGACUGGUGUCAGCCGCCGCGGUAACACCAGCCCCUCGAGUGGUGGGGAUGAUUAUUUGGCCUAAAGCGUCCGUAGCCGGCCGGGUAAGUCUCCCGUUAAAUCCAGCGUCUCAAGCGUUGGACUGCGGGAGAUACUGUCUGGCUAGAGAGUGGGAGAGGUGUACGGUAUUCUGGGGGUAGGGGCGAAAUCCUUUGAUCCCCGGAGGACCACCAGUGGCGAAGGCUGUACACUAGAACACGUCUGGCGGUCAGGGACGAAAGCUGGGGUAGCGAACCGGAUUAGAUACCCCUGUAGU